CGCGUAGGCGGUUUAACAAGUCGCAUGUGAAAUACCAGGGCUCAACUCUGGGGGGUCAUGCGAAACUGUUGGACUUGAGUGUAGUAGAGGAAAGCGGAAUUCCUGGUGUAGCGGUAAAAUGCGUAGAGAUCAGGAGGAACACCGGUGGCGAAGGCGGCUUUCUGGGCUAUAACUGACGCUGAGGCGCGAAAGCGUGGGGAGCAAACAGGAUUAGAUACCCUGGUAGUCCACGCUGUAAACGAUGAAUACUAGGUGUAGGGGACGCAGGUCUUCUGUGCCGGAGCUAACGCAAUAAGUAUUCCGCCUGGGGAGUACGGCCGCAAGGUUGAA
rnacentral:rRNA from 1 species